rnacentral:rRNA from 1 species
GACGAACGCUGGCGGCGUGCUUAACACAUGCAAGUCGAACGGAAAGGCCUGCUUUCCCUUGUGGAUUGCGGGUACUCGAGUGGCGAACGGGUGAGUAACACGUGAGUGAUCUGCCCCCAACUUGGGUAUAAGCCUGGGAAACUGGGUCUAAUUCCCGAUAGGACUGCAGGGUGGUGCCUGUGGUGGAAAACGAUUUUCUAGUGGUUGGGGAUGAGCUCGCGGCCUAUCAGCUUGUUGGUGGGGUAAUGGCCUACCAAGGCGGCGACGGGUAGCCGGCCUGAGAGGGUGGACGGCCACAUUGGAACUGAGAUACGGCCCAGGCUCCUACGGGAGGCAGCAGUGGGGAAUAUUGCACAAUGGGCGGAAGCCUGAUGCAGCGACGCCGCGUGGGGGAUGACGGCCUUCGGGUUGUAAACUCCUUUCGACCGCGAGGAAGCCACCUGGUUGGAAGGGUGGUGACGGUAGUGGUAGAAGAAGCACCGGCUAACUACGUG